UACGGAGGAUGCGAGCGUUAUCCGGAUUUAUUGGGUUUAAAGGGUGCGUAGGCGGGUUAUCAAGUCAGCGGUAAAAUCGUGGAGCUCAACUCCAUCCAGCCGUUGAAACUGAUGAUCUUGAGUGGGCGAGAAGUAUGCGGAAUGCGUGGUGUAGCGGUGAAAUGCAUAGAUAUCACGCAGAACCCCGAUUGCGAAGGCAGCCUUCCGGCGCCCUACUGACGCUGAGGCACGAAAGUGCGGGGAUCGAACAGG
rnacentral:rRNA from 2 species